AUUUGAAACAUCAUUUCUGCUUCUUAGGUAAACGACUUUGAGAGUGCCUGUCCUGCUCAAGAAACAACUCUUCUCCCACUUUCCUGAGAGCAUCAGCAUGGCAGUGGUAUGAAAGGAACCUUCUUUUGCCCUUCAUCCGUCCUCCCUCCACGUCAGGGAGGAGAAACUGAAUAAGGGGGAACACAGAAUGAGGACCCAGCGGGUGGACUAUGGUGCACAUCCCCUUCCUCCUGUGGCUCCUCGAUCUCUUUCAUCCAACAUUGCUGAAAAUGACCCCCACUGGGUUGCAUUUGGGCCAGGAGCCUCAGCUGGAUAUGUGAAAUGUCAAGGGUUCUAUGUCUACGGAUCAUAAAAAUGGCAAAAGAGACCUGGAAAAUGUCUGCUCACAUGCCCUGGGCCAACAUGGAUUUAAGGAAAACACAUCCAUUCUUCCGGCCAUCAGCGCAGUCUGGAAGCCAUCACAAGCCUGUAAGUUUUACUACUUUAUUUUGGAUCCAUCACGGAGAAGAAGCCUGCUGCCAAGCUGACUGGCACACAUGGAGCCCUUAUGUGCCAGGGCAUGAAACUAGUCUGCUGAAUGAGGGCCCAGGCUGUAAAUGAGUAUCUGAGCUGAGAACAUCACCAGGAUCAGCAGAAAGGAGCCCAUAAACUGACGUGAACCAGAAGGCAGAGCUGAGCCUGAACUGUAAUUCCGCAUGUGUCCAGAAUCUGGUAUUAGGGAUUAAUCCCUGGGGUUGCGACUGGAAGUAGAGGACAGGGUUUGUCUUUGAGCAAACAGCAGGUGAUUCUUUGGCAGGCAAGAACUUUGUAGAAAGCCGUAUCAUCUGCAUCAUGACCAGGUUCUCGGUCCUUGAAGAAUUAGCAGGGGGAUUUGCCUGAUUCCACACAGCAGUGCUAGCCAUCAAUCUGAAUGCAUUUCUCCGGUGUGACCCAGGGCAGCAUAAGUCUCUCUUUCCCUUUCUUUGAUGUCUCCAACAACGAGGAGGGUUGGAUUUCUCCGACCCUGGGGCUGCCACUUCAGGUCACCUGCAGAUGCAGCGGACAUUUCCCUUGCAGCAGGUGUACCGGACCACGUUAGCAUGUAAUGCAGAAGGGACCUGUGGACCCAGGCCUUCGUGCUGCUAAAUUCACCUCAGCUGAAAGACCUCCUUGUGCCUCUCUGCCUGGUGAUGCCAGUCUCCACAGAGGCCCCCAUGGACCUUCUGCAGUGCAGACACCGAGUCCGUCACUGUCAGAUGGUAUUUGUGAGUGUGGGGCUGCCGCGGUGCUAAGUGCUGUGGGUUUUUGCCAAGAAGGGUGGAGGUGGCUAAUAACUCCUGAACCUGAAGAGUUUAUAGUCCCGUGGCUCUCCUCCGGAUCUGUUCCACUGCCCCACCACGCUCCGCCCCUCCGGGGUACGGAUUCUGCUUCUCGCUCCGUCUCUAGUUUUAAUACAUUAUUUAGCAACGUGGACCAUUCAAAUCAACCAGAGUUGUUAAGUGUUGUACAUAAUGAAUACCAAACAUAAAUAUUUGAUCAGUGCUGCUGUCCUGUUAUUCACUGAGCUGUUAACCUUCAGCUAAUAGGCUUGUGCCAAUUCACCCCCAGUCAUCAAUCUUCAACAACUGUACGGCCUUUUGCACCAGGCCCUGGUGACUACUAGGGCAUCAGGGAUGGUGCUAAAGGGAGCCCCACCCAGGUGAGUCCGUGGCCAACACAGCAUUGUAGAAAUAUGGCUGGAUUGGAUAUUUGACUAUUUGCAGUGUCUUUGCAGAAAGUGGCACCAUUUCCGUGUUUUUUUUUUUUUCAUUGUUUUUUAAAAUUCUCUGGGAGUUAGAAGUUUUGGAACAUGGAAGGCAGGGUGCUGUUGCUUCUCUGCUACAAGUCUGCUGAAUGACCUUGAGCCCUAAAGUCACAGCUGCUCUAUACCUCAGUCUCCUUAUGUUUAGAAAUAUCAUCUCCAACUCAAAUGCUUAUGGGUCAGUUUAGAUAGUAGAGUUCCUACAGAAGAUGAGCUUACAAUUUCCUUUUGGUGUAUUUUGUUUUCUUAAUAUCCCACAGA